ensembl:lncRNA
CUCUAUUUGUAGUUUUUGGCUUUCACAGUCUCGUCUCUCUCUGUCCUCUCCACCGGUAACUGCCUCUCGGGCAAUGUGACGGACAGUCUCUCUCCUGCUCUUUCCUUCCCAAGCCUCUUUUCCUCUAACCUGUCUCUUUUCCUUUCAGUUCUUCCUUCCUCCUGCUUCAGCCCCUGAACCUGUGAUCUCGGCUGGCAGUUUCUGAGCUCCGAGCGCUCGGCUCCUCUGUUUUUGCGCAGCGCCCUCAUUCUGCCAACCAAUCGUCGAGGAGCACCACCCACUGACCAAGUGUUCAUUGGCCAAGCCGGCCGUCAAACAGACACGUCAGGCGGCGAUCGGGCGGGGCGGGACAAAAGCGGCGCCCAGGCUGCCGGGGUGAGUGUGAGUGUGAGAGCGAGAACAGCCCGGCAGGUCCCGAGGCGCCGGCUGGGGACUCUACGCGGAAAGUUCCCAGUCCCCAGCCGCAGGUAUUUUCCCUGCCACUGAUCAUGGAAAGAAAUCUUCGAGAAGGGGAAAAAGUUGCACACGGGCCACCGAUCGGCAGGGAUCACCUCAUUAAGGGACUCUAAGCGAGGUUGGCAGGGGGACAUUUAAAAAGUAGAUCGAAUGUGACAUGUGUCAAUCAAUCUAAGCGUGAGGCUCGGGGGUCCGUGUGGAGAGGAGCGAAGCGUGGGAGCCGGGGCCGGGGUGGGUCCUCCAAAGCGGAGGGAUUCACGCGAGGGACUGGGCUGGAGGAGCCCGAGACGUGCAGACGCCUUAGACGUGCCUCUGCCCUCCCUGAAAGCACGGCCACGUACCCGCGGACGAACUGAGCUGGGCACCUGGCUUCUAGUUGUGAGCGCACUGAUCAAAGUUUCAUUUUCAUUUCUGCUUAGGACAGGAUGCGGGUCGCCCUCCCGGGUGCCAGCAGCACCGGGCCUUGCGAGGCGCUUCCGAUAUCCCUGCGCCUGGUCUGGCCCAGAGCCACGCAGCGGAGGGGAGCGGGCGCUGUUUUCGGCUUUUCCCCCUGACCUUUGGAGCUCUCUCCCCGCCGCGCCCCGCCCCGCCCCGCCCCGGGAUAGACGAGGGCCCAGCGCUGGCGGCGCCGAGCCGGGAACACAAGCGGAGCCCCGAGUGUGCACCGCUGCGGGUAUCUGCCAGCACGUUUGCACGUUUGCACAUUGCAGUUCCUGUGUCCCCCCUCCUGUUCCCCGGCCUCUGGAUCGGCGUGCGCCCCGGCGGAGCCGCCCGGGUGCCUAAGGAAGCGCUUGGCUAGCUCGUGCCCACUCGCGACGCGCGGGGCCGAGCGGGGCCACGCGGCGCAUCCGCGCAGCCAGUGCCUGUGAAGUUAAAACAGCCCGAACUCUUAGUGCCCGAGAGUGGAUUGCAUGCCAAUUCUCCAAGGCAAGAUCCCUAAAUACAUAUAUUUACAGUAACUCAUGGUCUGGUCGCAAGGAACACGUUGUUUAUUCACUGAAACAGCACGAGUUCAGUGUCCUUACGCUACAGGAUACAGGAUAGGAAGGUUCCCUAGCGGCGUCCCUGUAAUGAAUGAUCCAAGAGUAACACCACCACAACCUGCGAGGAAGGCACAGUGGUUUCGGCACAGAGGUUUGUGCCCGUCCCUUCAGUCCGGGAAUUCCGAAGCGCCGGUGUCCACCGGCGUGACCGUGGAUCGGGGCGUGCUCCUGCGAGUCCGGCGAGUUCGUGUCCACCGCCUGGCCGCCCGCCCCAGAAACCUGGCUCCGGGAGAUGGGUCCUGCCUUCCAGUGGGCAGAAGGAAAGGAUGCCAGCAAAAAUGGCUAAUCCUCUUCCAGCUGCAGUAAAUUGACGACUGGCCAAAGCCAAGCGAAACCCGCUGCAGUUAAAAAGAUUUUAGCUUCACGUCUGGGGCUGAGAAUGGAGCGGCAGUAUAUAAAACGACCUGUGGAUCAAUGGAAAGGAGAUCGUAGUGUCUCCGAAUAUUAAUACGGGAUCAAACUCGGGACCUUGUGCUUGCAAGGCAGGCGGCAGAACCACUGAGCUAAAUCCCCGGCCCAUGGACCUUUGCUUAAAAUGUAUUUACUGUAUAUUGUACUGCUUACCAUCCACUAUGAUGUCACAGAAAGCUCAAGGAAGGGAUAUCAUCCAGACUCAGUAAAUUCACAACUUGUUUUUCCCAUAAUAUGGGUAUGAAUGAGUGUAAUAAAUAAAAAAGUAUUUUAAAUGGUGUUAAUUUGAACCAACGUAAAUUGCAGAAAUCUUUCCAAAAGCUGUUUUCUUAAAGUUCCUAGUAUUUCCUCCCAUGUUUAGGAUAAGCAUACCUGCUUCUCUUUCUUUCUCUCCAUUGUCUUCUGAGAAAUGCCUAAAAUCCACAAAAGUUGAAUACACUUUAUGGUUUAUUCCUCUUCUCUUCUACUUUGAUUCUCAAUCCAUUGAGCUUAGAUUGUAGCCAAUGUAUAAAUCAAUAGGUUGUAAAUGCAAUUUACAUAGAUUAUCCUGUUGUUUUUUGGUUAUAUGGUCAAGUGUGGGCAAAGUUCAAUAGGUUCCAUUUUUUUGUUCAGUGUGAAAUACCAGAACACCAAAAGCUCUAGAAGAUUCUUAAGGAGAUAUGUAAAUCUUUGAAGAAGAUACAUGAGUACAUGUCAUACUGUUGAGCCAAUGAAAGUACAUAAAUCACAGCUGGAGAGAGUUUCUUUAAUUAGAGAAUGUCCAAUUUACCACAUGGAGAAAAGUAUCUCCUAAGUUUCUUCAUGCCUUCUCUUGGGACUCUUUGGAAUAACAAAGUAACUACUUUAUUUAAGGGAUUUUCCCUUUUAAGACCCUGCUAUUCUAGUUUCUAGAUAAUUUCAUAUUCUUGAUGAAUGUUGAUUUGUCUCUGUUAUGGCUUGUAUCUAGAUGUCCUCCAAAAGCCUCAUGAGGUCAUAGGUGGAGAGUAUCAAAGGUGGCUGGAUUAGGGUGUGUGAUAGGAUUAAGGCUGAGAUGUUGGGAUUAACGGUGCCCCACCCUGGGUGUGGGUGGCACCACCCAAAAGAUGGGUAGCCUGGUUAGAAUAUAAAGGAACAGAAAGAAGUUGCUUUGCUAUUUUGCUGCUUUGCUGCCUUCUACCUGCCCUGCUUUGCCAUGGACUAUUUCUUCUCUGUGAUGCCACUCUGCCAUGCCACCCUGUCUUGGACCCAGCUGACAAUGUACUGAAAUGUCUACAAACUGUGAGCUGAAAUAAACUUUUCUGCCUUUAACUCUGGGUGUUUGAUAUUUUGUCUCAGCAAUGAGAAAAAUAACUAAGACACAUUCCAAAUGAAUAAGUAGCUAUCUUUCCAAUUUCAUUUAAUAAGAGAAUUUGAAAUCUCUUC